AAAACUCUUACUACUGGUCCCCCGGUCGUGUCUCUCUGAAUUCAUAUUCCGUUUUUGUCCCAAAGUCCCCUGAGGCAAAGUCCGAAGGAGCCCACCGAAGAAAUAGAGAGUUU
ensembl:ncRNA Y73B6BL.279 ncRNA